GAUUAGAGACCCUGGUAGUUCCUACCUUAAACGAUGCCGACAGGAGUUUGUCAUUUGUUAAUGGCAGAAUCUUUGGAGAAAUCAUAGUUCUUGGGCUCUGGGGGAACUACGACCGCAAGGCUGAAACUUGAAGGAAUUGACGGAAGGGCACACCAGGGGUGGAGCCUGUGGCUUAAUUUGAAUCAACACGGGGAAACUUACCAGGACCAGAUGUUUUUUAUGACUGACAGGCUUCGGGUCUUUCAGGAUAUUGUUUUUGGUGGUGCAUGGCCGUUGGUGGUGCGUGGGUUGACCUGUCUAGCGUUGAUUCAGCUAACGAGCGAGAUUAUCGCCAAUUAUUUACUUUGCCGAAGUCCUUCGGUUAAAGUUCUAAUUGGGACUCCCUGCGAUUUUAGCAGGUGGAAGAGGGUAGCAAUAACAGGUCCGUGAUGCCCUUUAGAUGCUCUGGGCUGCACGCGUGCUACAAUGUUAGGAUCAAUAGGACUGCGAGCCUGAGAGGGUGCGCUACUCUUAUAAUCCUAAACGUAGUUGGGAUUGACGUUUGUAAUCAGCGUCAUGAACCAGGAAUCCCUUGUAAAUGUGUGUCAACAACGCACGUUGAAUACGUCCCUGCCCUUUGUACACACCGCCCGUCGCUCCUACCGAUUGGAUGACUCGGUGAAAUCACCGGAUGCUUACGAGCAGAAAGUGAUUAAAUCACGUUAUCUAGAGGAAGGAGAAGUCGUAACAAGGUAACGGUAGGUGAACCUGCCGUUGGAUCAGUU
rfam:Trichomonas vaginalis G3, whole genome shotgun sequence.